rnacentral:rRNA from 1 species
UAAACGACUCUCGGCAACGGAUAUCCCGGCUCUCGCAUCGAUGAAGAACGUAGCGAAAUGCGAUACUUGGUGUGAAUUGCAGAAUCCCGUGAACCAUCGAGUCUUUGAACGCAAGUUGCGCCCGAAGCCACUAGGCUGAGGGCACGUCUGCCUGGGUGUCACGC